AAUACCAGCCAUUACUAACCAAAAAUGCUUACAGCAACACCAGAGCCACUUGCUCAAUCAGCUGCUCCAGUGAUUGAGCAUGAUAUUCCAUUGCCGGGGGAUGAAUUAGGUAUUGUUAGCUAUGAUUGGAUUUGUUGUAGUGUUUUUAAUGUUGCUUGUUUUCAGCUGCACACUGUUCCGAUAGUGAUGCGUCUUUUUCGGACCCUGAGGAUAAUAAUGCAACGGAAUUUGACGAUGGAGAUGACGAAGGUGACCAACCUUUCCUUAUCGACGAUUUGUCUUUCAAGGAUGCUCUUCGCGUAUGGGCGUUGGAGGCCAAUAUUUCGCAUCGCCGCACAAAUGUGUUGCUAGAUUUGCUUCGCAAACACAACCAUCCUGAGCUGCCGAGGGAUGCAAGAACUUUUUUAGAGACUCCCUCAGCGAAUACCACACGGAGUCUGGUCUCUACUAUCUCGGGUGGUCAAUUAUGGUAUCAGGGGAUUGCUAGCAGCCUUAAAUAGUACUUUAGACUUGUGACACCGGACGUCAAUGAAAUGGAGCUAAUUUUCUUUGAGUUAAACCACUUCUGUGAAUUGGUGCCCAUCCACAGUUUUGGCCCAUCCUAAUGAGAAUUCAUGACAUGCCUAAUGUACCGGUAAUGAUGGUGGCAAUUUUUUGUGGGGAAAGUAAGCCGGGAAGCCUUCAAGGUUACUUGCAACCAUUUGUCACGGAACUACACUACUUGCAAGCCAAUGGACUACUGAUAAACGGUCGCCCAUAUAAAAUAUGAUUCCGGGCCAUGAUAGCAGAUACACCAGCUGGAGCUUACAUCAAAGGUGUUAAAUCAUUCAACGCUCGUUACGGGUGCAUCAAAUGCAAGACCCGUACCACAAAGGAUCCAACAACGAAACGCACCUACUACGGGCAGUUUGGUGCUGCGAGACGGACCCAUGAAGAGUUCUGCAAUGGUGUAUACGUCGACCAUUACAAAACCGCUACACCUUUGGUUAAGCUAAACAAUUGCGACAUUAUCAAAGAUAUAAUUACCUCAGAACCUCUGCAUUUACGAGAUCACGGAGUUACGCGCA